CUUGAGAAAAGAAGAUUCAGAGUGGAUCUGACUAAUGUUUAUAAGUCUCUUAAGUGUGGGAGUCAAAGAGACAUGGCCAACCUCUUUUCAGCAGUCUCUGGGGACAGAACAAGGAGAAACAGCCAUAAACUGGAGCACAGGAAAUUCUACACCAAUAAGCAAAAUAACUUCUUCACAGUGAGGAUGACAGAGCACGGGAACAGGCUGCCCUGGGAUGUUGUGGAUUUUCCUUUUCUGGAGAUAUUCAAGACCUGCCUGGACAGCUACCUGUGUAACCUGCUGUAGGGGGUCUGCUUUGCAGAUUUCUUAUUUGAAAAAUAAUAAAUGGAAAGAGGAAGAAGCUGAAGAGGACACGGAGAUUCCGAAAGGCAGCAAAAGAAACACAAUUGCCAAAAUCACCUUCAUUAACAUAAUAUACAGAAGAAUAGAUAGCUGCAAUAUUUUUUUUUUAAAUAUUGACUCUGACAUUGUGAAGUGAGUAACAGUUCCCAUCUCGGCUGACAGUCGCUGCCAACUGCAUGUGUAACAAUUUUUGAGAUUCCAUGAUGCCUACAAUAGCAAUUUUGUGGGUGCUGGAGAAAGCACCAAGGAAUUUCAAAUAAAAACCUUUUUAUUUUUUUUCACAAAGCACUUCUGCAUAUUAUGACAGACAUAGUAACACAGUCAAAAGAUUGAUCAGAGAAGUGAUGGCUGCAUAUUUAUAAGGUCCAUAGCUCCUGUUUCCCAGUGGAUUUUGUGUCAUUUCAGUCAGAAAAUUGCCUCCAGACAAAUGCAAUAGUAAAUCGGAGAAAUCAUUUUCUGCCUUUUCUUUCACUGCAAUGAGCCUGAAUUGGUAGGAACAGUGAGAAGAUAGAGGUCAUCAUGAAAUACUUGCUUUAGCAGCAUUAAAUUAUAUUGAUUGUUCCAUGAUAAAGCAGUCUUGACAGGAAAACAAAUUUGAAAAACUCAGUGCCCCUAUAACCUAAAAAGAAAAAUAUUUUUUUCUUCAAAGUUAAUGAAAAAUAUAAUUAUAUCAUCUACAUGUUAAGAUUUGUGAAUGAUAA
ensembl:lncRNA